AUACGGAGGAUCCAAGCGUUAUCCGGAUUUAUUGGGUUUAAAGGGUGCGUAGGCGGACUGGUAAGUCAGCUGUGAAAGUUUGCGGCUUAACCGUAAAAUUGCAGUUGAUACUGUCAGUCUUGAGUGUGCAUGAGGUGGGCGGAAUUUGUGGUGUAGCGGUGAAAUGCUUAGAUAUCACGAGGAACUCCAAUUGCGAAGGCAGCUCACUGGGGCAUAACUGACGCUGAUGCACGAAGGUGUGGGUAUCAAACAGGAUUAGAUACCCUGGUAGUCCACACAGUAAACUAUGAAUACUCGCUGUUUGCGAUACACUGUAAGCGGCACAGCGAAAGCGUUAAGUGAUCCACCUGGGGAGUACGCCGGCAACGGUGAAACUUAAAGGAAUUGACGGGG
rnacentral:rRNA from 1 species